rnacentral:lncRNA from 10 species
CAUUCUCAAUGACUCCUAGGCAUCUAAAGUAUGCUGGGUGCCCUCAGUGCACUGGAACAGAUAAGACAUAAACCAGCUUCUCAGGCAAACCCCCCAAAGCCCAAAUGUUGGAUGCACACUACUUCAACACUUUCCCUCCUUGGAGUCAAGUCAGAGUUGGAGUUUUCUUCCACUUGUUCCACGCUUAGAUGGGGAGAGGAGCUAUAGCAAGAUCUAUUUGCCUCAGUUCGAUUGGUGGAACCUAGACUCGUGUCGUUAGUGCUCUCACUAUUCAAAAACAAAAACAAAUAAGAAAAAGGAGAAACAAAGUCUUUCUGUCCUUUAAAAUGUGGAUGACUCCCAUGGCCUCUGCCUAACCCACCUGACAUACUGAAUUUGUGAGUGUUCAUCCUUCUCACCCCACUCCUAAUAUUCUAGCCGUACUUCCAGCCUGGCUUUGUUCUGGCCAG